rfam:Emiliania huxleyi CCMP1516 EMIHTscaffold_4_Cont301, whole genome shotgun sequence.
CGCCAUCGAAUGAGGCAAGACUACCCGCUGAACUUAAGCAUAUCACUAAGCGGAGGAGAAGAAACUAACCAGGAUGCCCCUAGUAAUGGCGAAUGAAGCGGGCUGAGCUCACGCUGCCAAUCUGGAGGCCUCGCGUAUGCAGCGCCCCCCGAAUUGUGGUCUAGAGAGGCGUUAUCGGCCGCGCCCGCCGCUCAAGUCCCUUGGAACAGGGUGUCGGAGAGGGUGAGAAUCCCGUACCGUGGCGGGUUGCGGCCUUACGAUGCGUCCUCGUCGAGUCGGGUUGCUUGGGAUUGCAGCUUGAAUUGGGUGGUAAAUUCCAUCUAAAGCUAAAUACUGGCGAGAGACCGAUAGCGAACAAGUACCGUGAGGGAAAGAUGCAAAGAACUUUGAAAAGAGAGUCAAAGAGUGCUUGAAAUCGGUAGGAGGAAACCCGGAUGGGCCCGGCUUCGGCGCGCCGACUCAGCCUGGGGUUCUCCCCAGGUGCACUUCUGCGCGCCGGGUCAGCCGCGCCUCGGCGCCGCGCCUCAACCCGGGAGCGGGGCUUUACGGCCAGCUCCCGUCCUGGCGCGGCCCGGGGCCCGGCUGACGGAACGGGCCCCUCCGACCCGUCUAGAAACACGGACCAAGGAGUCUGACACGUGUGCGAGUACCCGGGUGGCAAGCCCGCGUGCGGAAUGAAAGUGAAGGGCAUGCCCUGCCAACCGACCUUGACCUGCUGUGAGGGGUUUGAGUGGAGCACACCUGUCGGGACCCGAAAGAUGGUGAACUAUGCCUGGGUAGGGUGAAGCCAGAGGAAACUCUGGUGGAGGCUCGUAGCGAUACUGACGUGCAAAUCGUUCGUCGAAUCUGGGUAUAGGGGCGAAAGACUAAUCGAACCAUCUAGUAGCUGGUUCCCUCCGAAGUUUCCCUCAGGAUAGCUUGAACGCAACGGUUUUGUCAGGUAAAGCGAAUGAUUAGAGGCCUGUGGGCUGAAACAGCUUGCACCUAUUCUCAAACUUUAAAUGGGCAAGAGGCCCGGGAUGCUUGAGUGAUCCCGGGCGGCGAACGGCGCGUUCAAAGUGGGCCAUUUUUGGUAAGCAGAACUGGCGAUGCGGGAUGAACCGAACGCCGCGCUAAGGUACCCAAGUGUCCGCUCAUCAGAUACCACAAAAGGCGUUGGUACCUCCAGACAGCAGGACGGUGGCCAUGGAAGUCGGAACCCGCUAAGGAGUGUGUAACAACUCACCUGCCGAAGGUACUAGCCCUGAAAAUGGAUGGCGCUCAAGCGGACCACCGAUGCGCGGCCGCCGGCGCGAGCGCGAGGCGCCGGCGAGUAGGAGGGCGCGGGGCUCGCGGCGCAGCCUUGGGCGCGAGCCUGGGUGAAGCGGGCCCCGGUGCAGAUCUUGGUGGUAGUAGCAAAUAUUCAAAUGAGAACUUUGAAGACUGAAGUGGAGAAAGGUUCCGUGUGAACAGCAGUUGGACACGGGUGAGCCGACCCUAAGAGACAGGAAAACUCCGCCGAACGCGGCUGGUUCUGUCAGCCCGUCCGUCGAAAGGGAAUCGGGUUAAUAUUCCCGAGCCAGCGCGUGGAUGGUGGGCGGCGACGCGAACGAACCCGGAGACGCCGGCGGGAGCCCUGGGAAGAGUUCUCUUUUCUUCUUAACUGCCUCCUGCCCUGGAAUCGGUUUAGCCGGAGCGAGGGCUACACGGCAGGCAAAGCACCCUAAGUCUUGGGGUGUCCGGCGCGCUCCCGACGGCCCGUGAAAAUCCGGGGGAGCGGUUCGUUCUCACGCCUGGUCGUACUCAUAACCGCAUCAGGUCUCCAAGGUGAACAGCCUCUAGUCGAUAGAGCAAUGUAGGUAAGGGAAGUCGGCAAAAUGGUUCCGCAACCUCGGGAGAAGGAAUGGCUCUGAAGGCUGGGCGCAGGGGUCCUAGGCUCGAGGCCGGCUGGCUGCGCGGGGACUACGGCCUCACGGCUGCGGAUCCCGCGCGGCCGUCCGGCGGACGGCCUAGGAGCGCUCCGGCUCUCCCUGCGCGACGAACAGCCGCUUCAGAACUGGCGCGGACAAGGGGAAUCCGACUGUUUAAUUAAAACAAAGCAUUGCGAUGGCCCGCGAGGGUGCUGACGCAAUGUGAUUUCUGCCCAGUGCUCUGAAUGUCAAAGUGAAGAAAUUCAACCAAGCGCGGGUAAACGGCGGGAGUAACUAUGACUCUCUUAAGGUAGCCAAAUGCCUCGUCAUCCAAUUAGUGACGCGCAUGAAUGGAUUCGUGAGAUUCCCACUGUCCCUAUCUACUGUCUAGCGAAACCACAGCCAAGGGAACGGGCUUGGAAGAAUCAGCGGGGAAAGAAGACCCUGUUGAGCUUGACUCUAGUCUGUUACUGUGGAACGACUUGAUGGGUGUAGAAUAUGCGGGAGGGGCAACCCGACAGUGAAAUACCGCAACCGUCAACGUUGUUUUACUUACUCGGUGGCGCGGAGGGAGGCUCGCCUCACUUCUGGAUCCAAGCCGCUUCGUGCGCGCGAUCCGCGUCGGGGACACUAACAGGUGGGGAGUUUGGCUGGGGCGGCACGUCUGUUAAAAAAUAACGCAGGCGCCCGAUUUUGAGCUCAAUGAGAACAGAAAUCUCAUGUGGACCGAAAGGGGAAAAGCUCGGUUGAUUUUGAUUUUCAGUACGAAUACAAACCGCGAAAGCGUGGCCUAUCGAUCCUCUCGUCUUUGGGAAUUUCAAGCUAGAGGUGUCAGAAAAGUUACCACAGGGAUAACUGGCUUGUGGCUGCCAAGCGUUCAUAGCGACGUAGCUUUUUGAUCCUUCGAUGUCGGCUCUUCCUAUCACUGCCUCGCAGCGGGGGCCAAAUGCAGGAUUGUUCACCCACCAACAGGGAACGUGAGCUGGGUUUAGACCGUCGUGAGACAGGUUAGUUUUACCCUACUGCUGUCUGUUUUUCUACGGUAAUUUGGUUCAGUACGAGAGGAACCACCAAUUCGCAUCAUCGGUAUAGCCGCCGCCGGAAACGGCGAUGCGGCGAAGCUGCCAUGCGCCGGAUUAUAACUGAACGCCUCUAAGUUAGAAUCCAUGCCGGAAGGAAAGCCACCUACCGGCCCGGGGACGCCACGAGCAACGGUAGCACUGCCUGAGCCGCGAGCGACCACAAUUCACGGACCCGGGCCGACGAAUCCCUUGCAGACGACUUGAAUAAGGAACGGGGUAUUGUACGCGGCAGAGUGGCCUUGUUGCCACGAUCCGCUGAGAUUCAGCCUUGGUUCUGACGAUUUGU